rnacentral:ncRNA from 1 species
ACAAUCUGGAGAGCAGUGUUCGAUUUGAAGAAUUAUAAGAGAAAAGUUUCUUCUACGAUUAACACUCACCGAAGGGGAAGGCUUAAUGAUUAAUUGGUAAUCAUCUGCCAAAACUCUCAGGUACCAUGACAGAUGGGG